AGGAAUGCCUUGAGCCAUCAACAACAAAUGGGCGUUACCCCAGUCCUGCAAGACUCUCUCCUGCUAAGCCACUUCCACCUGGACAACGUGCUUGAGAGAGAAACUGAAGGAGUCCAACAGUCAAGAAAGGACACGCCAUGGGAAGCACGGGUAAAGAACGUUUCCAGCAGAAAUCAAUGAAGGGGAUGGAUCCAGCACGGGGUAGCCCCUCCUGGAGGCCCAGCCCUCGGCCUUCCCUGGAUUUUACAUCCCUGGGGUCCCUGGAGCAACUCCCGUAGACGGCAAAGCGGGUUCCAAACGAAGCAGAAUAGGUUCAUAGCAAACCGGGUUCCAAGUCUCCUUUGGGGACAUUUGAUUUCUCCUCUACCUAAAUACAAGUUGCCGCUAAGGGGCCUUGCCUUGCUCUCCAGGCCCCCUUAGCUUUCCUUCCCUCCCCCUGCCCUUCCCUCUGCUAUUUGCGUGAAGGGGCAGAUGGGGCUUGCUGCUGGGCCGUCAAGGCACUUCUUUCCCAAUCGAUGGGUGCUGCAUCCUGUAGCUUUCUUGUCUAUUUGAUUGGUAUUUUCUUUUGUAACUUCUCAGGUUUCCAAACACUACAUAUACUAGGCACAUCUUUGACUAUAUUAAAGCUUUACCUUCUUGGCAUU
rnacentral:lncRNA from 1 species